rnacentral:rRNA from 1 species
AUUGAACGCUGGCGGCAGGCCUAACACAUGCAAGUCGAGCGGAUGAGGGAAGCUUGCUUCCCGAUUAGCGGCGGACCGGUGAGGAAUUCCUAGGAAUCUGCCCAUUAGUGGAGGAUAAAGUUCCGGAAGGAACGGUAAUACCGCAUUCGUCCUACGGGAGAAAGUGGGGGAUCUUCGGACCUCACGCUUAUAGAUGGGCCUAGGGCGGGUUAGCUAGUUGGUGAGGUAACGGCUCACCAAGGCGACGAUCCGUAGCUGGUCUGAGAGGAUGAUCAGCCACACUGGAACUGAGACACGGUCCAGACUCCUACGGGAGGCAGCAGUGGGGAAUAUUGGACAAUGGGCGAAAGCCUGAUCCAGCCAUGCCGCGUGUGUGAAGAAGGUCUUCGGAUUGUAAAGCACUUUAAGUUGGGAGGAAGAGUUGUAAGCUAAUAUCUUGCAGCUUUGACGUUACCAACAAAAUAAGCACCGGCUAACUCUGUGCCAGCCGCCGCGGUAAAAC